rnacentral:rRNA from 1 species
UACGGAGGGGACUAGCGUUGUUCGGAAUUACUGGGCGUAAAGCGCACGUAGGCGGAUUUGUAAGUCAGGGGUGAAAUCCCGGGGCUCAACCUCGAAACUGCCUUUGAUACUGCAAAUCUCGAGUCCGGAAGAGGUGAGUGGAAUUCCUAGUGUAGAGGUGAAAUUCGUAGAUAUUAGGAAGAACACCAGUGGCGAAGGCGGCUCACUGGCUCGGUACUGACGCUGAGGUGCGAAAGCGUGGGGAGCAAACAGG